rnacentral:misc_RNA from 1 species
CCGAAGUCGGCAAGCGCGGCAGCGUCGUAGACGACGACCUGGCUGGGGAUACCGAAAGUGCUGUCCUGGUCGGCGGUGUGGUCGAGCUCGGAGACGACCUGGAGCAUGGAGAUGCGGUUGUGGAGGCGGUCGAUGGCGAGGGGCGGGUCGACGAUGGGGACGGCCGGGUGGCGCGCGGCGAAGGCCACGAGCUGGGCGCGCCAGUCGUCUCCGUAGAGCUUGUGGAUGAGGAGGUGGAAGGGCCCUUGCUCUGCCAGGGGCUGCGACGCAUCCACGGGGACGAGGUCCAUGCCCCGCGACGCCGCCUGGGCCACCAGCGACGGCUGGAUGAAGCUCUGCUGCUUCUUCGGCGCGAGCGCGUAACCGAUGACGUAGCGCGGGGGGUGGGUGACGCCGGAGGAGGGCUCGGCGGCGGCGUCGGAGGCCAU